rnacentral:rRNA from 1 species
CGUCUAUAUACGUAUAGCAUAUCAAUAAGCGGAGGAAAAGAAACUAACAAGGAUUCCCCUAGUAACGGCGAGUGAAGCGGGAAGAGCUCAAAUUUGAAAUCUUAAAGGGUUUCCCUUUACGAAUUGUAGUUUAAAGAAGUGUUUUCUGUAGGAGUUUCGGUAAAAGUUCUUUGGAAUAGGACAUCAUAGAGGGUGUGAAUCCCGUAUUUGACCGUUACUUUCCAGCUGUGUGAUACACUUUCAAAGAGUCGGAUUGUUUGGGCAUGCAGUCCAAAAUGGGUGGUAAAUUUCAUCUAAAGCUAAAUAUUGGCGAGAGACCGAUAGCGAACAAGUACCGUGAGGGAAAGAUGAAAAGAACUUUGAAAAGAGAGUUAAACAGUACGUGAAAUUGUCAAAAGGGAAGCGUUUGACACCAGUGUUGUUUAGUUGAAAAUCAAUUCAAUAAUUUUUGAUUUUAAGUAGUAUUGACUUCAUCAGCUUGCUGCUUUCUUUUCGGAAAUUAUUGAAUGCACUUUUCAGUUAACAAGUCAACAUCAAUUUCUUUUGUUGUAAAAGGGUAAGAGGAAGGUGGCUUACGCUUCGGCGUAAGUGUUUAUAGCCUUUUACCUCUGCAAUCGGAGAGAUUGAGGACAGCAGCGUAGACUCCUUCGGGGGUUAGAUACACUUGUGCUAAGCUAUAGCCUUGUAUAGACAACUUGUUGACUAUGCUCAGUCAUGUAGCUUACUCGCUUGUGCUAUUUUACCUACGCUUAGGAUGUUGAUGUGAUACUGCGAGCA